AUCAUGGCUCAGAUUGAACGCUGGCGGCAUGCCUUACACAUGCAAGUCGAACGGUAACAGGCCGCAAGGUGCUGACGAGUGGCGAACGGGUGAGUAAUGUAUCGGAACGUGCCCAGUAGUGGGGGAUAACUACUCGAAAGAGUGGCUAAUACCGCAUGAGAACUGAGGUUGAAAGCGGGGGACCUUCGGGCCUCGCGCUACUGGAGCGGCCGAUAUCAGAUUAGGUAGUUGGUGGGGUAAAGGCCUACCAAGCCGACGAUCUGUAGCUGGUCUGAGAGGACGACCAGCCACACUGGGACUGAGACACGGCCCAGACUCCUACGGGAGGCAGCAGUGGGGAAUUUUGGACAAUGGACGCAAGUCUGAUCCAGCAAUGCCGCGUGCAGGACGAAGGCCUUCGGGUUGUAAACUGCUUUUGUACAGAACGAAAAGGCUCUGGUUAAUACCUGGGGCUCAUGACGGUACUGUAAGAAUAAGCACCGGCUAACUACGUG
rnacentral:rRNA from 1 species